AUAUACAUGUAAAUCAUACAGUACCUAACUAAGUGGCAUAAAAUUAAAUAAUAAAUACUUGUGACUAAUGGUCGCACAGUUAACAAACUUUAUAAGUAUUAUGGAAUCCCUACUCUAACUAUAUCUUUAUUAUAAGGUCGUGAUCGGAGGCGUACUUGGAAUUGGGCUUCUCUUUAGGGAGAGGACACUAAAAUAUUUAGUAGCAAAAAAUAACCUCGUAUUUGUGGCGUUUAUUCAUACUUAGGUAUGGGUGGGGGUCCGACUCCCCGACUGUUCAGUUCCUGAAAAGAAACAGCCAAAGGGCAGUCAAGUUUUAAGCGACUGUAGGUACACAUGAUUUAAGUACUAAGAAGCCCACAUACAUACUUACUUAUACAGGGCUUAUUUAAGAUAGUUGAUAAGACGGAACGAGAGGGAGAAGCAUAGUCAACGAAACGCUUUUCAAUCCAUUAAAAUCUUUUAAUGAUAUCUUAGAAUCAAAAUAUUUGUUUAACCUAUUAUUGAUUAUAUUAUUGUAGUAUUGCUUAUUAAUAAAUAACUAAUGACUGCAAUACUUAAACUACUUAAUUGAAAUAAUACCUACCUACGCAUAAAAAAGCAGAGUGUUGAUUGAAUUCUUAUGUCGUCCAAGGUAGGAAGGUAAGUAAGUAGGUUGUACCUACGAGGCAGAUAUAUGUGGCUGAAUUCAACUGAAAAGUUUUGUUUCAAUAAAAGAAAUAAGUUGAACAUGAACAUUGUCACCACACCCAGCCAAGCAAAGCCUGACCCAGUCUAGCUGGAUACACCAUUAGGCACAGAUACUUGGCUGCGUGAAUUCUAAAUUUUUUGAAGUCCACUGGUUUACUCCAUUGAACCAACUUAAGUACUUAGGUACAUUUUAUCUUUCGGAAAUGUCUAAUGAAAUAAAAAAUAAAGACACUUAAAUCUAUGUGGGUAAUACGGUGGCAUCGUGUCGCAUUGUGGUGUCGCUGUUGAAUCUUGGUGUUGAAUUACAUAAACAAAAAUAAACUAGAACAGUUAAGAUAAAAGUUGUAGGUAGGUAGUUAUGUAAACUUUAGGUAAAUUUAACCUUGUUCCAUGUUCCAUUUAUUCAACAUUGAUUUAGUGUGUAGCAGAUUUAAUGGUUCUGGUUUGUUUUAAAAGUACCUACCUACGAAGUUUUUGUGGUAGAUGGAAGAAGAAACACAUUUAUUAAGUACAUGUGUGUCUACUUCCAUUUCAGUUAUUUUUAGUGCUGUGAGUAGUAGUCCAUUUCUAUAUGUAGAUUCCUCUUGAAAUAAAGGUUAACAAUCUUGAAGUCCUUUUGUUGAGAAACGAUUAAAAAUUUAUAGCCAUAAGAAGAAAAAUCUAAAUUGAAUAACAGUUCAGAUAAUAAAGAAUUUUUAUUCUAUUAAGUGCCUAUAAAUUUAUAUUGAAAAGUAAUCUACAACACAAAUACGGUAGGUGGGUAUCAAGAUUGUUCAGGGAACCUCCUUUAUGUCAAUAUCUGAAUAAAACGAAUUCUUUUUAAUAGAACUAGUAUUUAGUAUACUCCAAUUUGGCUUUGUAAAAAUCAUUAAAUCAAUAAGAACAUUUACUAUAAUUUUAAUUAAUGAAUCUUCAAAAAUUAUAGGUUUUUAAUCACACAACACCUACAAAUACAACAGCACCAAACGUCAGUUUAAAAAAAAGACCGGAAACAUGUAGAAGAAAAUUGAAGUCAGUAAGGUGACUUCAAAAUAAAAUUUGACCAAAAAUAGCAGAGCUUUGACAAAAAUUAUAUAAUAUUAUUUCAUUUGGAUUAUUUAAAUUUUGGUUUUGGAAAAUGGAAUUAAAACCCAUUACAAAAUUUAUUGAAAGACGAAAUUUUUUUAUUUUGAUUCUAUGUCACGAAUAGAC